rnacentral:rRNA from 1 species
AUUGAACGCUGGCGGCAGGCCUAACACAUGCAAGUCGAGCGGAUGACGGGAGCUUGCUCCUGGAUUCAGCGGCGGACGGGUGAGUAAUGCCUAGGAAUCUGCCUGGUAGUGGGGGAUAACGUCCGGAAACGGGCGCUAAUACCGCAUACGUCCUGAGGGAGAAAGUGGGGGAUCUUCGGACCUCACGCUAUCAGAUGAGCCUAGGUCGGAUUAGCUAGUUGGUGGGGUAAAGGCCUACCAAGGCGACGAUCCGUAACUGGUCUGAGAGGAUGAUCAGUCACACUGGAACUGAGACACGGUCCAGACUCCUGCGGGAGGCAGCAGUGGGGAAUAUUGGGCAAUGGGCGAAAGCCUAAUCCAGCCAUGCCGCGUGUGUGAAGAAGGUCUUCGGAUUGGAAAGCACUUUAAGUUGGGAGGAAGGGCAGUAAGUUAAUACCUUGCUGUUUUGACGUUACCAACAGAAUAAGCACCGGCUAACUUCGUG